ACUAGCAUAUCAAUAAGCGGAGGAAAAGAAACCAACAGGGAUUGCCCUAGUAACGGCGAGUGAAGCGGCAACAGCUCAAAUUUGAAAUCUGGCGCAAGCCCGAGUUGUAAUUUGUAGAGGAUGCUUCUGGCCAGCGGCCGUUCUAAGUUCCUUGGAACAGGACGUCAUAGAGGGUGAGAAUCCCGUAUGUGACCGGCGCGCAGCCUUUACGUAGCUCCUUCGACGAGUCGAGUUGUUUGGGAAUGCAGCUCUAAAUGGGAGGUAAAUUUCUUCUAAAGCUAAAUACCGGCCAGAGACCGAUAGCGCACAAGUAGAGUGAUCGAAAGAUGAAAAGUACUUUGGAAAGAGAGUUAAAAAGCACGUGAAAUUGUUGAAAGGGAAGCGCUUGCAACCAGACUUCGUAGCGGUGUUCCGCCGGUCUUCUGACCGGUCUACUCACCGUCGCGAGGCCAACAUCGUCUGGGACCGCCGGAUAAGACCUAAGGAAUGUAGCUUCCCUCGGGAAGUGUUAUAGCCUGUGGUGAUGCGGCGCGUCUCGGGCGAGGUCCGCGCUUCGGCAAGGAUGUUGGCGUAAUGGUUGUCAGCGGCCCGUCUUGAAACACGGACCAAGGAGUCUAACAUCUAUGCGAGUGUUCGGGUGUCAAACCCCUACGCGUAAUGAAAGUGAACGGAGGUGGGAAGCGCAAGCUGCACCAUCGACCGAUCCUGAUGUCCUCGGAUGGAUUUGAGUAAGAGCAUAGCUGUUGGGACCCGAAAGAUGGUGAACUAUGCCUGAAUAGGGUGAAGCCAGAGGAAACUCUGGUGGAGGCUCGCAGCGGUUCUGACGUGCAAAUCGAUCGUCAAAUUUGGGUAUAGGGGCGAAAGACUAAUCGAACCAUCUAGUAGCUGGUUCCUGCCGAAGU
rnacentral:rRNA from 1 species